AGACGAGGGGAUGUGAAUGUAGU
rnacentral:piRNA from 1 species